GGGCGAGUGGUGGAAUGGUAUACACGACGGACUUAAAAUCCGUUCCUGCUUGGCGGGGUGAGGGUUCGACUCCCUCCUCGCCCAC
rnacentral:tRNA from 1 species